CCUACGGGAGGCAGCAGUGGGGAAUAUUGCACAAUGGGGGAAACCCUGAUGCAGCGACGCCGCGUGAGUGAAGAAGUAUUUCGGUAUGUAAAGCUCUAUCAGCAGGGAAGAAAAUGACGGUACCUGAUUAAGAAGCCCCGGCUAACUAAGUGCCAGCAGCCGCGGUAAUACGUAGGGGGCAAGCGUUAUCCGGAUUUACGGGGUGUAAAGGGGGCGUAGACGGCAGCACUAGGUUGGAGUGAAAUGCCGGGGCUUAACCCCGGAACUGCUUUGGAAACUGUGCAGCUAGAGUGCAGGAGAGGUAAGUGGAAUUCCUAGUGUAGCGGUGAAAGGCGUAGAUAUUAGGAGGAACACCAGUGGCGAAGGCGGCUUACUGGACUGUAACUGACGUUGAGGCUCGAAAGCGUGGGGAGCAAACAGGAUUAGAUACCCCAGUAGUC
rnacentral:rRNA from 1 species